CUGUGUGCUGGCCCCUCUUUUUCCUUCUUCUCUAUGGUCGUCUGGCUGAAGGGGGGGCUCCUGGCGGGUUUCCCGCGUCAGGAGCUGCCAGGAGAGAGAGAGUGUGAGACUGAACUGAUGCUCUCCUUGCUUUUCCUGGGACCAAAAGAGAACGACCAAGUGCCCGACCCCUCCAGGAUUUGCAAGGACCCAAGGUGGCUCAGGAAAGAAAAUAUUUAAAAGCUGGAAACCGGGAGUAGACCACGGUGCUUCGCGUCAUUAAAAGGUAAAGGUAAAGGUUCCCCUUGACAUUUACUCCAGUUGUG